rnacentral:rRNA from 1 species
GACGAACGCUGGCGGCGUGCUUAACACAUGCAAGUCGAACGGAAAGGCCCUGCUUUUGUGGGGUGCUCGAGUGGCGAACGGGUGAGUAACACGUGAGUAACCUGCCCUUGACUUUGGGAUAACUUCAGGAAACUGGGGCUAAUACCGGAUAGGAGCUCCUGCUGCAUGGUGGGGGUUGGAAAGUUUCGGCGGUUGGGGAUGGACUCGCGGCUUAUCAGCUUGUUGGUGGGGUAGUGGCUUACCAAGGCUUUGACGGGUAGCCGGCCUGAGAGGGUGACCGGGCCAAAUGGGGACGGAGACACGCCCAGGCCCCCGCGGGGGGCCAGCAGGGGGGAUUUUUCCCCAAGGGGGGGCACCCUGAUGCAGCAACGCCGCGGGGGGGAGGACGCCCUUCGGUUUGUAACCCGUUUCCGCCUGGGAGGAAGGGGGAGUGGGGUAAAGGGGAAAAGAGCCACGGGCAAACUCGGGC